UCCUACGGGAGGCAGCAGUGAGGAAUAUUGGUCAAUGGGCGGAAGCCUGAACCAGCCAAGUCGCGUGAGGGAAUAAGGCCCUACGGGUCGUAAACCUCUUUUGCCGGGGAGCAAGGGCGGGGACGUGUCCCGGCCCGGAGAGUACCCGGAGAAAAAGCAUCGGCUAACUCCGUGCCAGCAGCCGCGGUAAUACGGAGGAUGCGAGCGUUAUCCGGAUUUAUUGGGUUUAAAGGGUGCGUAGCGGGGCUUUUAAGUCAGCGGUAAAAAUUAGGGGUUCAACCCAGCCCGGCCGU
rnacentral:rRNA from 1 species